rnacentral:rRNA from 1 species
AGGGAAUCUUCCACAAUGGACGAAAGUCUGAUGGAGCAAUGCCGCGUGAGUGAAGAAGGUUUUCGGAUCGUAAAACUCUGUUGUGAGGGAAGAACAAGUACGAGAGUAACUGCUCGUACCUUGACGGUACCUCAUUAGAAAGCCACGGCUAAC